UGUUUGCAGAAAAUAAUGUGAUGCGCUUGUAGUGUGCCAGAUGGUGCCAGAUAACUCAAAUUUUAAGUUAAAGAUUGUAAACUUUUAUCGAGUGUUACACAAAUAUUUAUGGUUUCCUCUAUCGUAAAAUGUUGUUAACUUAUUUAUCAAAUAUGUUUUAAAGACUAAAAGAGGUUAAUAAUUACACGCAUGUGAUGACCUCUACAUAGCAAUAUCAGGUUACGAGACAUGCAGAUGAAUUGUUACACCUUUUAUGAUAAUUCCAAAGUUGUAAACAACCUUAAACAUUCAACCUAGUCCGAGAUUACUC
rnacentral:lncRNA from 1 species